GAGCACAGCCAAUGGGGACGUCCAGACCCUUUCCCUAGCCAUGUGAGCGAGCACAGCCAAUGGGAGUCUUACAAACACGGAGAAGCAUCCUGUAUUUUACUUGUUGUAAGUGGACUGGGAAAGGUGUAAGUGUAGGAAACUCGUCUGGGUUCGGCUUGAGUGGCGCAAAGGCAGCUGUGCCGAAGAAGCAGGAUAUUCUAACAACAAUCCGGGACUGCGGGAUGUAGUAUAAAAAUCGGGACUGUCCCGCGAACAGUUGGGAUGUAUGCCUUGCACUGUAACAACCGCCCCCCUAAAAAUCAUAUCAGUGUAUUGUUUGCGUUGUGACUCAGCAAAACCCGUGCCCUUGCCGUGCCAUAGGUAAAAACACUCUCAUGCAGGCGUGUCUUGCCUUAUCUGAAUGAGUGUGCACCUUGUAAAGUUGUUUUAUAGCAGGAAGACGAGUUCUUCACAAACUCAAUGAAUCCGAGUUCUGCCGGUUCUUAAAUGGCGCCCAUGAGGAGAAUGCUAGGCACCUCAGUGUUUCUAUGUGCCGCUGUCUUGUCCUCUGUUCAGGCUGGGAAGAUUCUUGUAGUACCAGUAGAGGCAAGUCACUGGAUCAAUAUAAAGAUACUAAUGAUGGAGCUGGUUCAGAAAGGACACGAGCUGACAGUCCUCAGGCCCUCGAACAGUUUGUACAUCGACGAGUAUUCAGAGGACUUCCGUGUUAUAAAUGUGUCAAUGGCGGAAAAUCAAGUGAUGAGCAGGGACGAGUUUGAGAAGUACGCUCUAGAAUUUGUCUUCACAAUUGCUCUAUCCAAACAUUCCUCUCCUUUCUCUUUAGCUUGGAAUUUCAUUCAGACCGUCCAGACAGGAACACAGAUUGUGUCCGUUGCAGUAAGUGCACUUUUUGAAAACAAUAACAUUAUGAAUGAACUGAGAAAUACUAGAUUUGAUUUGGUCCUGGCUGACCCCUAUAAUAUUGCGGGGCCAAUGCUGGCUCACCACCUGAAGCUCCCCAUGGUAUUUUUUGGAAGAUGGAUGCCCACAGAAGAUAUCCAUUUUGUUACAGCACCUUCACCCUUGUCCUAUGUACCUGUUAUAAAUUCUAGGCAGACAGAUAAGAUGUAUUUUUCAGAAAGGGUGACUAACGUUCUCCUUUUUUCCAUGUACUAUGUGACUAGUCACUUGCUGAUCUACCCAGUCUAUGAUAAAUUAUGUCAACUCUACCUCCACACAGAUGUUGGAUUGUUAGAGAUGUAUAAGAAGGCUGAUAUAUAUCUCAUGAAAGUAGAUUUUGUUUUUGAGUUCCCACGACCAAUAAUGCCAAAUGCGGUGUACAUAGGUGGAUUUCAGUGCAAGCCAACUAAGCCACUUCCACAUCACUUGCAACAAUUCAUGGAUGGUGCUAGUCAGGGAGUGGUAGUCUUUUCCAUGGGAACACUUGUGAAGUAUCUGCCUUACAACAUAGCCCGAGAAAUUGCCGCAGGCUUAGCACGACUACCGGAAAAAGUAAUCUGGCGUUAUUCUGGAGAAAAACUAGACACACUAGGAAAUAACACAUUGAUUGCAGAUUGGAUACCCCAAAAUGACAUUCUAGGCCACCCUAAUACAAAAGCAUUUUUAGCCCAUGGUGGAGAAAACGGUGUCUAUGAAGCUAUAUACCAUGGAGUCCCCAUAGUUGGUAUUCCACUUUUUGGUGAUCAGUUUGAGAACAUUCUACGAUUGAAGACAAAAGGAGCUGCCAUCUUGUUAGAAAAUCUGGCAGAUAUUAAUUCAGAGGAAAUUUUCAGUGCAGUGCGCCUAAUAAUAGAUGAUCCUUCCUAUGGUGCUGCAAUGAAACACCUCUCCAAGCUGCAUCGAGACACCCCAAUAGCACCACUAAAUGCUGCAGUAUUUUGGACAGAGUUUACUAUGCGCCAUGGAGGAGCGGGCCAUCUGCAGGCUGUAGGCAACAAUCUGCCGUGGUACCAGUACUAUCUUUUAGAUGUUAUUGCAUUUCUUGCUUUCAUAGCCAUUAUUUGUAUCUCUUUACUAUACAAGUUCUUAAAAGCUAUUUUCAGAAAAUGCUGCUCAAGGAAGAAGAAGAACAAGAGAGACUAAAUUAGAUCUUAACAUUCAGUUACUGUAACCCAUAUUUUCCCUUUUGCCUGCUACUGACACUGCACAGCAAUUACUACCAAUCUUAUAUAACCGCAGGUUUUUUGAAAUACAAAAUAAAACCAACAAAAACCUUG